CAGUCAGUCCUAGGGUGAUAACGUCCUAGGGCGAGAGGGGAACAACCCAGACCACCAGCUAAGGUCCCUAAAUGAUGGCUAAGUUGAUCAAAGAAAGUUGAGUUGCUCAGACAACUAGGAGGUUGGCUUAGAAGCAGCCAUUCCUUUAAAGAGUGCGUAAUAGCUCACUAGUCAAGCGACUCGGCGUCGAUAAUAAUCGGGCAUAAGUCAUCUGCCGAAGCUGUGGGAUAGAGAUAUCGGUAGGGGAGCAUUCCAGUCAGCGUAGAAGGAGUCCUGUGAGGGGCUUUGGAGCGGUUGGAAGCGAAACUGUAGGCAUGAGUAACGAUAAGACAGGUGAAAAACCUGUCCACCGUAAACCCAAGGGUUCCUGAUCAACGCUAAUCGGAUCAGGGUUAGUCGAGACCUAAGGUGUACCCGGUGAUGCCGGGGAAGCUGAUGGCAAAGCGGUUAAAUAUUCCGCUACCCUAGCAAACGCUAGGCUAAGGCGUGACGCAGAAGUGACACUCCCGCGUGCGGACGAAUGCACGUUGAAGGGUGUAGGCUAGAGAGUAGGCAAAUCCGCUCUCUGUGAAGGCUGAACCCCGACAGUACCCGGAGUCUUCGGACGAAGGGAUAGUGGAGGUAAUCCUGCUGCCAAGAAAAGCGUCGUAGUUUGUUUGUUAGGCUCGUACCCCAAACCGACACAGGUGGGUGAGGAGAGUAUCCUCAGGUGCUCGAGUGAAUCAUGGCUAAGGAACUAGGCAAAUUAGAUCCGUAACUUCGGGAGAAGGACCCC
rnacentral:rRNA from 14 species